GGGCUUGUUCCGGAUUCGCUGUGAUUUAUGAAGUUUUGUAAGCAUGUCGGAGUAGACUCCGUUAAAAACGUCGAGGUUUAAAUAACCGCAAACGAAAACAAUGAUUAUGCAUUCUUAGCAGCUCGUAACAACGGUGCAGCUAACUAUGCUUACGCUUGCUAAUAUAAUCCAAGCGGCCUACCCUAUUUGUUUUCUGUGCAUUUAGGCUUUAGGUUUUAAUUUAACAGAAUAUAUUAUUUGUGUGCUACUCUAACAUAAAUAACGAAUCUAAUAGAGUGUAGUCAGUCUUUGGUCUGCUUGUCCGCUUAGGGCUGAUGAAGUUUUGUGAUAAGAUAAACAUGUAGAAAGCAAAAUGGAGUGGGUUGCAUACAGGGGUUCGACUCCCCUCAGGUCCACCA
rnacentral:tmRNA from 1 species